ACAACUUUCAGCAACGGAUGUCUUGGCUCCCGCAACGAUGAAGAACGCAGCGAAAUGCGAUACGUAAUGCGAAUUGCAGAAUCACGCGAGUCAUCAAGUCUUUGAACGCACCUUGUCGCUGCUGGUAACCCGGCAGCAUGUUUGUNGGAGUGUCU
rnacentral:rRNA from 1 species